rnacentral:rRNA from 1 species
UACGUAGGGUGCGAGCGUUGUCCGGAAUUACUGGGCGUAAAGGGCGCGUAGGCGGUCUGUUAAGUUCGGUGUGAAAUCCCCUGGCUCAACUGGGGAACUGCGCUGGAAACUGGCAGACUCGAGUACCGGAGAGGAGAGUGGAAUUCCUGGUGUAGCGGUGAAAUGCGCAGAUAUCAGGAAGAAUAUCCGUGGCGAAGGCGGCUCUCUGGUACGGCACUGACGCUGAGACGCGAAAGCGUGGGGAGCGAACAGG